AGCGAACGCUGGCGGCAGGCUUAACACAUGCAAGUCGAACGGGCAUAGCAAUAUGUCAGUGGCAGACGGGUGAGUAACGCGUGGGAACGUACCUUUUGGUUCGGAACAACACAGGGAAACUUGUGCUAAUACCGGAUAAGCCCUUACGGGGAAAGAUUUAUCGCCGAAAGAUCGGCCCGCGUCUGAUUAGCUAGUUGGUAGGGUAAUGGCCUACCAAGGCGACGAUCAGUAGCUGGUCUGAGAGGAUGAUCAGCCACAUUGGGACUGAGACACGGCCCAAACUCCUACGGGAGGCAGCAGUGGGGAAUAUUGGGCAAUGGGCGAAAGCCUGAUCCAGCCAUGCCGGGUGAGUGAUGAAGGCCCUAGGGUUGGAAAGCUCUUUUGUGCGGGAAGAUAAUGACGGUACCGCAAGAAUAAGCCCCGGCUAACUUCGUG
rnacentral:rRNA from 1 species